GCGUGUAGGCGGUCAGGUAAGUGGAAUGUGAAAUGCCCCCGGCUCACCCGGGGACCGGCAUCCCAAACUGCCUGGCUUGAGUAUGGGAGAGGAUGGAGGAAUUCCUGGUGUAGCGGUGAAAUGCGUAGAUAUCAGGAGGAACACCGGUGGCGAAGGCGUCCAUCUGGCCCAAUACUGACGCUGAGGCGCGAAAGCUAGGGGAGCAAACG
rnacentral:rRNA from 1 species